rnacentral:tRNA from 1 species
GCGUUGGUAGUAUAGUGGCAGUAUUUCGCCCUUCCAAGGCGAUGGCCCGGGUUCGAAUCCCGGCCGACGCA